GAAAAUCUUACACAUGAUGGGUACAGCCGACCAGCCCGGAUUAAUCCCGAGACUCUGCAGUGGUCCUUGAAAGAGCACAAGAAAGGAAAACGAAGAACAGAGUUUCAAAGGGAAGUUUUCCUACUUGGAGAUUUAGAAGAAAGUAGAGAUCUCCUUGACCCCAAGGAAGCCGUCAGUCAUUAAAAGUUAGAGAGCACAACGUCUUUGGUCCUUAUGUAGAUGGACUAUCUAAACUGGCUGUCGCCAGCUACAAGGACAUAGAGUCUUUGAUGUCAGAGGGUAACAAAUCUCGAACAGUGGCUUCAACCAAUAUGAAUGAAGAGAGCAGUCGGUCACAUGCAGUCUUCAAGAUCAUCCUCACACACACACUGUAUGAUGUACAAUCAGGGGUAAGUAAUAGUGGGA